rnacentral:tRNA from 1 species
GGCGCCUUGGCUUAGUUGGAUAAAGCACAUGUCUAGUAAACAGGAGAUCACGAGUUCGAAUCUCGUCGGUGCCU